UUCCGGUUGAUCCUGCCGGAGGCUACCGCUAUUGGAGUUCGAUUAAGCCAUGCGAGUCGCGAGUCUUAGGGACUCGGCGUACCGCUCAGUAACACGUGGGUAACCUGCCCUAUGCUGGGGGAUAACCUCGGGAAACUGAGAAUAAUACCCCAUAGUUCACCACGCCUGGAACGGUGGGUGGAUGAAAGCUCCGGCGGCAUAGGAUGGGCCUGCGGCGUAUCAGGUUGUAGGGGGUGUAAUGUACCCUCUAGCCAUCUACGCGUACGGGUGUUGGGAGACAUCGCCCGGAGAUGGAUUCUGAGACACGAAUCCAGACCCUACGGGGUGCAGCAGGCGCGAAAACUUGGCAAUGCGAGCAAUCGUGACCAGGGAACUCCAAGUGCAUCGGGUAAGACCGAUGCUUUUCUUGACUCUUCAAAGGUCUUGGAAUAAGGGGUGGGUAAGGACGGUGCCAGCCGCCGCGGUAAUACCGGCGCCUCAAGUGGUAGUCGCUUUUAUUGGGCCUAAAACGUCCGUAGCCGGUUUGGUACAUUCGUGGGUAAAUCAAGGCGCUCAACGUCUUGAAUUCUGCGAGCACGGCCAGACUUGGGACCGGGUGAGGUGUGGGGUACUCUCAGGGUAGGGGUAAAAUCCUGUCAUCCUGAGAGGACCACCUGUUGCGAAGGCGCCACACUAGAACGGAUCCGACGGUCAGGGACGAAGCCUAGGGGCACGAACCGGAUUAGAUACCCGGGUAGUCCUAGGUGUAAACGCUGUGGACUUGAUGUUGGGAGUGCUCCGAGCACCCUCAGUGUCGAAGCGAAGGUGAUAAGUCCACUGCCUGGGGAGUACGGUCGCAAGGCUGAAACUUAAAGGAAUUGGCGGGGGAGCACUGCAACCUGAGGAUUGUGCGGUUUAAUUGGAGUCAACGCCGG
rnacentral:rRNA from 1 species